rnacentral:rRNA from 1 species
GUCGAGCGGACCGACGGGAGCUUGCUCCCUUAGGUCAGCGGCGGACGGGUGAGUAACACGUGGGUAACCUGCCUGUAAGACUGGGAUAACUCCGGGAAACCGGGGCUAAUACCGGAUGCUUGAUUGAACCGCAUGGUUCAAUCAUAAAAGGUGGCUUUUAGCUACCACUUACAGAUGGACCCGCGGCGCAUUAGCUAGUUGGUGAGGUAACGGCUCACCAAGGCGACGAUGCGUAGCCGACCUGAGAGGGUGAUCGGCCACACUGGGACUGAGACACGGCCCAGACUCCUACGGGAGGCAGCAGUAGGGAAUCUUCCGCAAUGGACGAAAGUCUGACGGAGCAACGCCGCGUGAGUGAUGAAGGUUUUCGGAUCGUAAAACUCUGUUGUUAGGGAAGAACAAGUACCGUUCGAAUAGGGCGGUACCUUGACGGUACCUAACCAGAAAGCCACGGCUAACUACGUGCCAGCAGCCGCGGUAAUACGUAGGUGGCAAGCGUUGUCCGGAAUUAUUGGGCGUAAAGCGCGCGCAGGCGGUUUCUUAAGUCUGAUGUGAAAGCCCCCGGCUCAACCGGGGAGGGUCAUUGG